ensembl:lncRNA novel transcript
GACCUAAAGAACAAACUAUAAAAUACUGAAACACACCAUGCAAAUAUACGCACAUUACUCUGCUAAAUAUCGGAACCAAAGUAAUCUAUUUAGAGAAAAGGGGUGAGAGGUGGCCUUUUUACUAAUCUCCAAGAGUGCUUGUGAAUUAAUUCAAACCUGGUAAAAUCUUUCACUUGAAGGAAUCAAGGUUGUUAUGUUACGGGACCCUCCGUUAAAGAAACAGAGGCUUUGAAGUGGAGGUUUAUUCAUCCUUCCCCGGAUGGACUGGAAAAUUGGCAGUGCCCAGGUUCAUCACAGGACAGAUACUCAGGACAUGCUGAUCUCGGAGAGUUGAAGGAACAAAAAAACUGGAUACAGUGGCUCCUCAGCAGAAACACAUGGGUGUAAGGAUUUGGGAUCCAUCUUCAGUUUAGGAAAAUAAUUUUUUUUCCAUGUUCGUAUACAAGAAAAUCCCCAUUUGCUGUAACGUGGGGUCCACACGGGAGAUAGGCCUUGUGCUGGCAAAGAAGUAGCCUCCUGCCCUCAAACUCAGAGUCCAGGAUAGACACUCUGAAGUGUAAUCUUUCCUUGUUGAUCAAGAGAUUUUUUGCAAAUUGCCAGCUCCCAUUCUUCACCUGUUCCCAUACCCACCUCCCAAUCAUGGUCACCAGAGGUAAAAGGAGGAGAGCCCAAGACACAAACUGUGAAGUCGAAUCUCCCAGCAAGCUCUUGCUGAUUCUAUUUGAUAUGCUUACAUUGGAUGCUCCAGAGGUCAUCAGAAAUAAUAAAGAAGUUAUGGGUCGUGUCAACAUCCAAGGUCACGUCCACUUGGAACUUCAGCAUUCUAGGAUUCAUCUGUAGAAAAGCUCUCAGCUGGGGCUCCAUUUCCUUGAUAUUGGGAAUCUGCUUUCAUAGCUGCCAGUUGGACCUGAUGUCAUUUUUCUGAGAAACCACUAUGCAAAAGAAGAACAAUAAACCUUUUCCAUGAGGCUCUUUCUGCAGUGAAUUGACACUGUUGAGGCAGAAGAUGCAUACACGUUUCAGGUUCAUUGGUUUCUCAAGAUAGUUUCAGGUACAUUGGUUUCUCAGGAUACGUUGACCAGAUGGGAAAUCUUCUUAAAGCUUGUAAGAGUUUGUCCAUGUCCACUCUUCUGUGCUAGAAUCUCUUCUAUACUCUAUUUACUUCCACCAGUAGUUUAGGUCUUGUGGGGAAGAGACACAGGAGAGCCUUUUAUUGAUGAGACUCCUUCCUGUCUCUUUAGCCACACCCUGCCAUGCCUCUUUCUCCUAAUCAGAUUUUGAUUUUUAAUUAUAUCAGAUAAUUAGGGCUUAUAUUGUAUUUUUUAUUGAUAUAUCAUAGCUGUACAUAUUUUCAAAGUGCAUGUAAUAUUUUCAUACAUAUAUACAAUGUGCAAUGAUCAAACAGGGUAAUUGUGAUAUCUGUCACUUAAAACAUUUUUCUUUGUGUUGAGAAC